rnacentral:rRNA from 1 species
UACGGAGGGUGCAAGCGUUAUCCGGAUUCACUGGGGUUAAAGGGUGCGCAGGCGGGUAAGUAAGUCCGUGGUGAAAUCUCUGAGCUUAACUCAGAAACUGCCGUGGAUACUAUUUGCCUUGAAUAUUGUGGAGGUGAGCGGAAUAUGUCAUGUAGCGGUGAAAUGCUUAGAUAUGACAUAGAACACCAAUUGCGAAGGCAGCUCACUACACAAUCAUUGACGCUGAGGCACGAAAGCGUGGGGAUCAAACAGG